GAGGGUAUAGCUCAGUGGCAGAGUGCAUGCUUUGUGUGCAUGAGGUCCUGGGUUCAACCCCCAGUACUUUGA
rnacentral:tRNA from 1 species